CGGCCAGACUCCUACGGGAGGCAGCAGUGGGGGAUAUUGCACAAUGGGGGGAACCCUGAUGCAGCGACGCCGCGUGGGUGAAGGAGUAUUUCGGUAUGUAAAGCCCUAUCGGCAGGGAAGAAACCAGACGGUACCUGACUAAGAAGCCCCGGCUAACUGCGUGCCAGCAGCCGCGGUAAUACGUAGGGGGCAAGCGUUAUCCGGAUUCACUGGGUGUAAAGGGAGCGUAGACGGCCAUGCAAGCCAGGGGGGAAAGCCCGGGGCCCAACCCCGGGACUGCCCUUGGAACUGCAUGGCUGGAGUGCGGGAGGGGCAGGCGGAAUUCCUGGUGUAGCGGUGAAAUGCGUAGAUAUCAGGAGGAACACCGGCGGCGAAGGCGGCCUGCUGGACCGCGACUGACGUUGAGGCUCGAAAGCGUGGGGAGCAAACAGGAUUAGAUACCCGGGUAC
rnacentral:rRNA from 1 species